rnacentral:rRNA from 1 species
UACGGAGGGGGCUAGCGUUGCUCGGAAUCACUGGGCGUAAAGGGUGCGUAGGCGGGUCUUUAAGUCAGGGGUGAAAUCCUGGAGCUCAACUCCAGAACUGCCUUUGAUACUGAAGAUCUUGAGUUCGGGAGAGGUGAGUGGAACUGCGAGUGUAGAGGUGAAAUUCGUAGAUAUUCGCAAGAACACUAGUGGCGAAGGCGGCUCACUGGCCCGAUACUGACGCUGAGGCACGAAAGCGUGGGGAGCAAACAGG